rfam:Asian citrus Psyllid, Diaphorina citri - Florida Strain, whole genome shotgun sequence.
GGUUAGCUUAGUUGGUAGUGCGUCUGCCUUGUAAGCGCUAGGCCGCGGGUUCGAUUCCCGCCCG